rnacentral:rRNA from 1 species
AACGAACGCUGGCGGCAUGCCUAACACAUGCCAGUCGAACGAAGCCUUCGGGCUUAGUGGCGCACGGGUGCGUAACGCGUGGGAAUCUGCCCCUUGCUUCGGAAGAACAGUUAGAAAUGACUGCUAAUACCGGAUGAAGUCUUCGGACCAAAGAUUUAUCGGCAAAGGAUGAGCCCGCGUAGGAUUAGGUAGUUGGUGGGGUAAAGGCCUACCAAGCCGACGAUCCUUAGCUGGUCUGAGAGGAUGAUCAGCCACACUGGUACUGAGACACGGCCCAGACUCCUACGGGAGGCAGCAGUGGGGAAUAUUGGACAAUGGACGCAAGUCUGAUCCAGCAAUGACGCGUGAGUGAUGAAGGCCUUAGGGUUGUAAAGCUAUUUUACCAGGGAUGAUAAUGACAGUACCUGGAGAAUAAGCUCCGGCUAACUCCGUG